rnacentral:rRNA from 1 species
CAGUCGCCGCGGUAAUACGGAGGGUGCGAGCGUUAAUCGGAAUUAUUGGGCGUAAAGGGCUCGCAGGCGGUUUCUUAAGUCUGAUGUGAAAGCCCCCGGCUCAACCGGGGAGGGUCAUUGGAAACUGGGAAACUUGAGUGCAGAAGAGGAGAGUGGAAUUCCACGUGUAGCGGUGAAAUGCGUAGAGAUGUGGAGGAACACCAGUGGCGAAGGCGACUCUCUGGUCUGUAACUGACGCUGAGGAGCGAAAGCGUGGGGAGCGAACAGGAUUAGAUACCCCCGUAGUCCCUGUCUCUUAUAC